rnacentral:rRNA from 1 species
UACGGAGGGGGCUAGCGUUGUUCGGAAUUACUGGGCGUAAAGCGCGCGUAGGCGGUGCAUCAAGUCAGAGGUGAAAGCCCAGGGCUCAACCCUGGAAUAGCCUUUGAGACUGAUGCGCUAGAGUACGGAAGAGGUGAGUGGAAUUCCCAGUGUAGAGGUGAAAUUCGUAGAUAUUGGGAAGAACACCAGUGGCGAAGGCGGCUCACUGGUCCGUAACUGACGCUGAGGUGCGAAAGCGUGGGGAGCAAACAGG